CGUGUAGGCGGUCAGGUAAGUGGAAUGUGAAAUGCCCCGGCUCACCCGGGGACCGGCAUCCCAAACUGCCUGGCUUGAGUAUGGGAGAGGAUGGAGGAAUUCCUGGUGUAGCGGUGAAAUGCGUAGAUAUCAGGAGGAACACCGGUGGCGAAGGCGUCCAUCUGGCCCGAUACUGACGCUGAGGCGCGAAAGCUAGGGGAGCAAACG
rnacentral:rRNA from 1 species